rnacentral:lncRNA from 1 species
CUGGUCUCUACACAAUGAAAACUGUUGACACAGCAGAUACUGUCUGCUAUGUAUUAUAGGUAUCUUUCAUACAAAUCUUAACCUUGUGACCCAUUCUAUAUAUCUGUUGUUCGUCAUGUAGGUUGAAAGGGGUGUAUCUUGGCUAUAAAAUACCUUUGUACUUUUGUCUCGGGGCUCUCAAUGAAUCAUCUGAGCGUGAAUCGUCGACCAGCCAUGACCAGCCAUAAUCGUAGCGCACUCAAUCGAUUCACUUUAUAUGUUAAAGAAAUUAACCACCACAUAUGGCGACGAGGAUGGGAUGUGAAUCUUCACUUGGUGACCACUCCUGAUGACCUGGGUAAAUAGUGCACAAGGGAUCCCUCAAACUUGGCAUCACAGGGAGACCAAACUUCAGAAACGAAGCAGAUGGACCCACCUUUGAUCUGAGAGGCAGCGAGCCGAGUGGACAUCACAUCUCGAACUUAGUUUUCAAAAAAUAAAGAGGCAGCAAAAUGUGAAAACUGUACAAAGGGUGUGUUGUCCUGAGAAAAGACUUCUCCAAGUCUGGCCUCUGACCACAGAGAGAACGUUCACCUCGUUCAGAACUACUUCAAGGUGUGUCUGCGUCGUCUCGGGGCCCAGGUGUGUGGGCUGUUUGUGGAGGUGGAGGGCGUUCAGUUUGGCCGUUGUCUAGAUGCCCUGCUGCCCCUUAUCGAGAAACAUUUACUCUUUUACAAAUCAAACUUUUAAGAUAUCAAAAUAUUUAAAAAGGAGCAGGAUGAGAAGGCAGCAGACAAACAGCUGUUCAGCUACCUGACCCUGGUCUUCAAACUCUCCAAGGACUGUAGCCUCCUGGAAGCCUCAGGACACGUUCACUAACAUCCUGGUUAAGACACUACAAUAGUACCUAGAACCUGGUCCCAGAUCUGUUUGUGCUGUCUUGCCAUCUGUUUGUGCUGUCUUGUAGUUGCGACCAUAGGAAUUGGCACGACAGCACUAACAGCUCAGGGACCCAGCUUUACUACCUCUGGAUAUCAUAUCUGUGACGUGGGCCCAGUCUGAAAAUCACCUCAGAUAUCUCAGUUGUCUGGAGAGACACAACUGGUCCUACAGUACUGUGGUAGGUUACGUUUAUUGCCUGCUCUGUACAGCAGUGUGAUUAAACUCAUGUGCCACAAUUGUUCACCUGAAAUGUCUGUUUUUGCACGUUUCUCACCUCCUGUUCUUUGAGUCGAUGAUGAUGGCUAUAUAGAAAUAUAGAUCUACAUCAAUUCAUCGAUUAU